CGUCUCCCAGCGAGCCUGCAGGAGUGGCUCGCGCCCACGGACGGUCACCAUCCGUGUCGCCGCCGGGGCAAGGGUUCCUUGGCAAUGUUCGUCAGCCAAGGGUUAGUCGAUCCUAAGGUAGUUCUUAAUCGAAGCUAUCGAAUGGGAAACAGGUUAAUAUUCCUGUACCAGUAAGAUCUUUGCCUAUGUUGAUGGAUCGGGAUAGUUGUUGUACACCCGUCAGUGUAUCCAAGCGCCGAAUCCGAUGAAGAACCGUAAUGGUGAGAAGUUGGAGAAUGCGUGAUGGGGCAGGCGUAAGCCUGCUUAUGAUGAUUCCUGGUCCCCGUGAAAACCUCAUAGUUACAAUCUUAUUGUUCGUACCAAGCACCGACACAGGUGUCCCUAGGUGAGUAGCCUAAGGCGUGUUAGCAUAAUCGUGGCGAGGGAACUCGGCAAAUUAGCCCUGUAACUUCGGGAUAAGGGGUGCCAGUAGUGAGAGCUACUGGUCGCAGUGACAAGAGAACACCGACUGUUUAAUAAAAACAUAGGUCUCUGCUAGUUCGAAAGGAUGUGUAUAGAGGCCGAAGCCUGCCCAGUGUCGGCAUCUGAAAAUCUGUUUCAACGGAUCGAAGGACCGAUAAACGGCGGGGGUAACUAUGACCCUCUUAAGGUAGCGUAAUACCUUGUCGCUUAAUUGGCGACUUGCAUGAAGGCUCAACGAGUGUUCUACUGUCCCCGCCAUGACGCUAGUGAAAACAAUCAGUCUGGUGCACAAUCCAGACCCCUCCAUCUGAAAGCGAAGACCCCAUGGAGUUUCACUGCAACCUGUUGUUGUUGUAAGAAUUGGCAUGUGUAGGGUAGGCGGGAGACGUUACCCAGGAAGGUGCGCUAGCAUCUCUCCGAGUCACCGAUGAAACACCGCCCUUGUCAAUUUUUACGACUCACCUCUCAGGAGGGACAGCUAUAGGCAGGCAGUUCGGGUGGGGCGCCACGCCCUCAAAAAGAUAACAAGGGCGCCCAAAGGUUAGCUCAGGUAGGUCAGAAAUCUACCGAAGAAUGUAAGGGUAUAAGCUAGCUUGACUCGGAACCAGACAAUAGGGUUCGGAGAUAGGAAACUAUGGCCUAGCGAACCAAUCAACCUCCUGAAUGGGGGUGAUUGAUGUCAGAAAAAUUACCCUGGGGAUAAUUGAGUUGUCACGAGCAAGAGUUCAUAUCGACCUCGUGGCUUGCUACUUCGCUGUCGGCUCUCCCUAUCCUGGUGGUGCAGCAGCUGCCAAGGGUGGGGUUGUUCGCCCAUUAAAAGGGAUCGUGAGCUGGGUUUAAAACGUCGCGAGACAGUUUUGUUGCUUUUUGAUGGAGGUGUUGGUACCUGAUGAGAAGGACCCUUUAGUACGAGAGGAACAGGGGUUCGUCGCCUCUAGUUUAUCAGUUGUCUGACAAGGCAUGCUGAGUAGCCACGCGGCAGUGGAUAAGAGCUGAAGGCAUCUAAGCUCGAAGCCACCUUAAAAAAGAGGUACCCAUAGGACGCUCGUAAAUGACGAGUUUGAUAGAAGCCGGAUGUAAGUACCGAGGUUCGCCGAGGUAUUCAGUCCUGGCUUACUAAAGUUCUUUGAACGUC
rnacentral:rRNA from 1 species